UAAAGUUAGAAAUAGCUAUACUUUUAUAAGAGAAAUGAAGGUUAAAGUUACUCUGAUUUAGGACCAGAUUGUUCAAUCUACCAUUUGAAAUUGGUAUUCUGAUCUACCAUAUGAAAAACUGGAAUAAAGGAAUGUUACUGCAUUGGCACUAGAAAUAUAUUUCAAUAAUGUUUUUACACAACUUGAAGGAGGCAAAGAGAGUUUAGAGAAUAAUGAAAGAGGAUGUGGUGAGGGUGGUGAUAAAGCAAAUAGGUUGUCAUCAGCUCUAAGAUUUAAGUGUUCGAAGACUACUGGUUCCAAAUGAUGGAGCAGAAGAAAACUGGCUUCACUGCCCACCAACAGAAAACCAAAAACAAGUGUGCAUCACCAAGAUUAUCACCAACAAUAUUCUAGAACUCAAAUAUGAAGAUGAGUCAGUUCUGGAGCUACAAAGAAGUGAAAAAUCUCUGAGCAGUGAUUUAAGAAUCAUUGAUGUUGAGGAAAGAGUUGAAUAAGAGACAGGGGUACAAAGAUUAUUUUUAAAAAUAUUAAUAACUUUCCAGUCUUCUUUGGAAAGAAAACUUUCCAAAACUUGAGAAAGAUAUUUCAAAGAAGGUACAAAACCCACCAGUAAAAUU
rnacentral:lncRNA from 10 species